rnacentral:lncRNA from 1 species
UCCCCAAGAGCAAGGUGGGAAUUUCUUGGAGGGAAGGAUGCCGGGGGUCUAUUUGGAAACAGCCUCUCUAACCAAGGGUAGGGGUAAGGUCUGCGUAUACACUACCCUCCCCAAACCCCACUAAAUAGGAUUAUACUGGAUUAUUGUUGGUGUAUCAAUAUUGCAGAGAAGCUAACCCCACCAAAAGGCCUCCAUUUUCUCCCUUUAUAUGUGUCUAUAUAUGUAGUGGGGGAAGAUGGAAGGCAGACUCGGAUGCAAAAAC